UGUCUAAAGGAGGUGGGAGUUUGCUAAGUAAUCCCUAGGAAAGUGUAUGCCCUCAAAGAAUUGAGGGAACUUGGUUGGCCUAAAUAAACUCUAGGAAAGGGAAUGAAUUAGAAAUCUCCAUGAAGAAGGAAACAUGAUGGACUAAAGUAAAUCAAGGUAGUUUGAUAGCCCAAUGAACAAGAAUGUUCUUAAAAAAUAGAGGAAUGGGCAUACCCUAAUAACACUCAAGGAAAGAGGAUGCCCUAAAUAAACUCAAUGAAAAGGAAUACCCAAAACAAACUCAAGGAAGAGGAUGCCCGAAAACAACUCAAGGAAGGAGGAUGUCCUCAACAUACUAAAGGAAUAGGGUGUACCCUAAAACAAAUUCAUAGGAUGUUGUUCUAAUGAUGAGAAACAAAAGGAACAUACGAAAAAUCUUUAAUAAUUCACAAUGGAGGGAAACCAAACGUACGAACAAUGAACAUAGGCAAAACCUACGACUCCAUCAAUUGUUUGGAACCAAAAGGGACUAAGAUCAAACGUUUAUAGAAACUAGCAUGACAUCACAAUGAUGAGAAACAUAACUAACAAACAACCAACUAAGCUUAGAUAGAACCUAGUAUGGUAUGCACAUGAUCGGACACAAAAUUAACUCAAAUUGGAUUUAGAUAGAACCUAGGAUAGCAUCUCAAUGAUGUGAAACUAAACAAACUAAGAAUGAAAAUGAAUAGAACAAUGAAUGGCAUUCCAAUGAUGAGCAAUCUCGGGAAAAAAUAUCUAUGUUUAAAUAGAACUAAGGAUGACAUUCUGAUUAUAGGGUGAAGGACGAGGGAUACCCUAAAAAAACUUAAGGAAGUGGGAUGCCCUAAAUGAUCCCCUUAAUAAAAUUAAUGAGGGGAAUUCUCUAAACAAAGUCAAGGAAAGGGGAUGCACUAUGCAAAUUCAAGCAAGCGGGAUGCCCUUAAGAAACCAAUGGAAGAACAUCAUCUUAAAUGAACCUUAGGAAGGCGGAUUUAGUAAUAAAAGGGCAUGCCACAAACAAACUCUACUAAGGCGAUUGCCAAUCCCAACAAAAGUGGUCGUGCUAAAAAAACCUCAAAAAAUGGAGUUGCGCUAAACAAACUACUAGAUGGGUAUGCCCUAGCCAGACUAAAGGAAUUGGGAGUCUGCUUAGUAAUCCCUAGGAAAGGGUAUGCCCUCAAGGAAUUGAAGGAAGUUGGUUGGCCUAAAAAAACUCUAGGAAAGGAAAUGAAUUAAAAAUCUCCAUGAAGAUGGAUGACCUAAGAAACUAAAGGAAAGAUGAUGGACUUUAUCACGAAAGUUUGAUAGCCCAAUGAACAGCAAUUUUCUUUAAAAAAUAGAGGAAUAGGAAUACCCUAAUAACACUCGAGGAAAGAGGAUGUCCUAAAUAAACUCAAUGAAGGGGAAUACCCUAAUUAAACUCAAGGAAGGGGAUGCCCGAAAGAACCUCAAGGAAGGAGGAUAUCCUCAAC
rnacentral:lncRNA from 1 species